GAUGAAGAACGCAGCGAAAUGCGAUACGUAAUGUGAAUUGCAGAUUUCAGUGAAUCAUCGAAUCUUUGAACGCACAUUGCGCCCGCCAGUAUUCUGGCGGGCAUGCCUGUUCGAGCGUCAUUUCAACCAUCAAGCGCCUCGCUUGUGUUGGGGCCCUGCGGCUGCCGCAGGCCCCUAAAUCCAGUGGCGGGCUCGUCGUCGUACCGAGUGCAGUAAACAUCCUCGCUCAGGGAACCCGACGGGUGCCGGCCGUGAAACCCCCCCUCCUCAAGGUUGACCUCGGAUCAGGUAGGAAUACCCGCUGAACUUAAGCAUAUCAAUAAGCGGAGA
rnacentral:misc_RNA from 1 species